rnacentral:rRNA from 1 species
GACAGAGGAGGCAAGCGUUGUUCGGAUUCAUUGGGCUUAAAGCGGGUGUAGGCGGCUUGGCAAGUGCUGUGUGAAAUCCUCCGGCUCAACCGGGGAACUGCAUGGCAAACUGCUUGGCUUGAGGUCGGUAGGGGUGCCUGGAACUCUAGGUGGAGCGGUGAAAUGCGUAGAUAUCUAGAGGAACGCCAGAGGCGAAAGCGGGGCACUGGGCCGAUUCUGACGCUGAGACCCGAAAGCGUGGGGAGCAAACAGGAUUAGAUACCCCCGUA